GUCUAUGGCCAUACCACCCUGAAUGUGCCCGAUCUUGUCUGAUCUUGGAAGCUAAGCAGGGUCGGGCCUGGUCAGUACUUGGAUGGGAGAAUCGACAGGUUCUAGGAGAGGUAGAAGAAUCAGGGAUCUAAGUAGACU
rnacentral:rRNA from 1 species